rnacentral:rRNA from 1 species
UACGUAGGGGGCAAGCGUUGUCCGGAAUCAUUGGGCGUAAAGAGCGUGUAGGCGGCCCGGUAAGUCCGCUGUAAAAGUCAAAGGCUCAACCUUUGAAUGUCAGUGGAUACUGCCGGGCUAGAGUCCGGAAGAGGCGAGUGGAACUCCUGGUGUAGCGGUGGAAUGCGCAGAUAUCAGGAAGAACACCAACGGCGAAGGCAGCUCGCUGGGACGGUACUGACGCUGAGGCGCGAAAGCGUGGGGAGCGAACAGG